AACGCACAUUGCGCCCAUCAGUAUUCUGUUGGGCAUGCCUGUUCGAGCGUCAUUUCCACCCUCAAGCCCUAGCUGCUUGGUGUUGGGGUGCUCUACAGCCUGCUGUAGGCCCCGAAAAUCAGUGGCGGUCUCACUGGGACUCCGAGCGUAGUAGAUCUCUCUCGCUUAGGGGCGACCGGUGGGUUUCCAGCCGUUAAAUCCCCCAAAUCUUAAAGGUUGACCUCGGAUCAGGUAGGAAUACCCGCUGAACUUAA
rnacentral:misc_RNA from 1 species